rnacentral:lncRNA from 1 species
ACAUUGUAAAAGCAAAAGAAAGCUUCAGGAAAGACUCAUAACAGAAAUACUUUACUAAAAAAAUUCUGUUAAAAUACAAUGCCACAUAACUAAGUCUUAUGCUUAGGAGUGCCCUUAUUUUGUGUGUUGACUAGAAAAGGCAAAACUUUUUCUGUAGUUAAUACGGCAUUUUUGUUUCCAGAUCUUUUCUUCCUGUACUGAUUCAUUAUGUUUAAACUGUUUCAACAAAACGCCAAACAGAGUCUCUGGCCACCAACCACAGUAAAAACAGCUGUCGGAAUGCUGCUCUGCACCUAAACUGCAAAGGGCUCUGUAUUGAGAUAAUCCACUGCAGAUAACUGGGGAUUCACAGGGGCAUCAAGUUAUAACUCACUGGGGCUGAGCGCAUUCAUCCAGCAGUAAAUGCAUCAUGGUCACCUUUAUUGCUGGAGAAACAAAGCUUGAAUUAAUUCCACAGGAAUGUUUAAUAAAGGAAAAGAUUCCAUGAAGAUCA